CUCGAACUCCUGACCUCAGGUGAUCUGCCCACCUCAGCCUCCCAAAGUGCUGGGAUUACAGGUGUGAGCCACCAUGCCCGGCCAUCUGAUGGUUUUAUAAUGGGUUUUUCCCCAUUUGCUCGGCAAUUCUCCUUGCUGCUGCCACGUGAAGAAGGAUGUGUUUGCUUCCCCUUCAACCAUGAUUGUACGUUUCCUGAGGCGUCCCCAGCUAUGCUGAACUACCUCCCGCCUCCUGGGGUGGAGGUCCUUCCUCUGGCUCUUCAGCUUCCGAAGCAGACUCAGUGGACUCAUCGUCGUAGAAGUCAAUCGUGGCUUGCACUGGGAAACUGGCCAGCACUUGCUCCCCGGAGCUCUGCAGGUAUUCUUGACGCUUUGACAUAGGUAAACAGACUCUAAUAUUUAAGAAACAAAUACACCAUUAAUCAACCUGAACCUUGUCCUCAACCCCUUCUAGAGGAUGCUUUUUCCCAGAAGCAGAGAACUCCCCAGACUUCCUCUCUCGUCUUUGCCUUCACAACACACAGAAUUUAAGCCAGCAGAACAGAGAACUGUAGGCACCUAUUGGAGGGACCUGGUGAUACACCUAUCCCAGUUCACAAAUAGAAGAGAAAAAGGAGAGAAAAAACACCCUUCUGUAAAUAAUGGAUGAUAGUUUUUUACUUCAUAAGAUAUCCAAUAGACCGGUGGUUCUCGACCUCCAGGGGACAUCUGGCAAUGUCUGGAGACAUUUUUGAUUGUCAGAACUGAGGGGAAGCUACUGACAUUUAGUGAGUAGAGGUCAGGAAUACUGACUGGUAAACACCCUACGAGGCCCAGGCUAGCUCCCACCAUGAAGAAUUAUCAAGCCCAAAGUGCCAACAGUGCUAAGGUUGAGAAAUUCCGCAGCAGACAAAAUGUAUAUAUUCAUCUAAGACAGAAAUAUGAGCAUAGUUCCAUUUUUAGCCAUGUUUACAAUUAGGUAUUUAUACUGAAGUAUUCACAGGUGAAUUCCUAGCAUGUCUGAGAUUUGCUUUGAAAUAUGCUGGGGUGGGACACAGUGGCUCAUUGGCUCAUAUCUGUAAUCUCAGCAGUUUGGAAGGCCAAAGCAGGAGGAUCAGUUGAGCCCAGGAGUUUGAGACCAGCCUGGGCAACAUGGCAAAACC